rnacentral:rRNA from 1 species
UGGGGAAUUUUGGACAAUGGGGGAAACCCUGAUCCAGCCAUCCCGCGUGUGCGAUGAAGGCCUUCGGGUUGUAAAGCACUUUUGGCAGGAAAGAAACGUCAUGGGUUAAUACCCCGUGAAACUGACGGUACCUGCAGAAUAAGCACCGGCUAACUACGUGCCAGCAGCCGCGGUAAUACGUAGGGUGCAAGCGUUAAUCGGAAUUACUGGGCGUAAAGCGUGCGCAGGCGGUUCGGAAAGAAAGAUGUGAAAUCCCAGAGCUCAACUUUGGAACUGCAUUUUUAACUACCGGGCUAGGGUGUGUCAGAGGGAGGUGGAAUUCCGCGUGGAGCAGUGAAAUGCGUAGAUAUGCGGAGGAACACCGAUGGCGAAGGCAGCCGCCUGGGAUAACACUGACGCUCAUGCACGAAAGCGUGGGGAGCAAACAGG